GCAGACACAUUCCAGCCAAUCAGCAGCAGACCCUCCCUCCCAGGCCCUCCCACCUCCUGGACAGCAUCCAUUUUACAUUCAUUGUGAAGCUGCAUUCUUAGUGAGCUGUCCAGGAGGUGGGAGGGUCUGGGAGGGAGGGUCUGCUGCUGAUUGGCUGGAAUGUGUCUG